AUACGGAGGGUGCAAGCGUUGUCCGGAUUUAUUGGGUUUAAAGGGUGCGUGGGCGGUGCGCUAAGUCAGUGGUGAAAUCCCGCAGCUCAACUGCGGAACUGCCAUUGAUACUGGCGCACUUGAGUACGGACGAGGUAGGCGGAAUUUAUGGUGUAGCGGUGAAAUGCAUAGAUACCAUAAAGAACACCGAUAGCGAAGGCAGCUUACUAGACCGUAACUGACGCUCAGGCACGAAAGCGUGGGGAGCGAACAGGAUUAGAAACCCUAGUAGUCC
rnacentral:rRNA from 1 species